AUGGCUUUGAUUUUGCUAUUACAUUCAUUUUCCACCAAAUUCUUAAACUUCCGAAACAUUCUGGCCACCUCAUAUUUUAUUUUCAAGAAAUUUACCCAAUACAUUCUUGACAUAUCAUCUAUGAAGAGGAUAAAAUACUUACUGCCAUUCAUAGUUGGUGUUCUCAUUGGUUCACAGAUAUCGGAGUGCACCAAUUCAAGCCUUUUUGUUGCCCUCUUUGCUUGAUUUCUAGGGGAUGGUAAUCUUGUUUGCUUUCCAAAUUGGCAUACAUCACACACACAAUCAUUACUAUUGAUUUUAGGCAUAUUUUCAAAUAGCUUCAGUUCAUGUAUAUGUUUGAGUGAUGUAUAGUUAGCGUGUGACCAAAUCGUUUGUGCCAUAAAAAGGAUUCAAUUACAGUGCUUGCAAGUGUUUGAUCAUUCACAUUUUUCCAUUCUAAUGGUACAAUUGAGACUUGCUUAAACUUGAAUAAUCUCCUUUGGUGUUCUAACAUGAACUAAUACAUCCAUUUCUACGUGACCCAUUUUAUUGGAUGUUAUGUGGUUUUCUUAAAUAUGUCUUAGAACAUUUUAGGCAUUAAUUGCUUCAAGUUCGCAAAUAAAACCUACAUUUAUAAAGUUGGACAUGUUAGUGUCACAACAAUUGAAUAGAGACUUUGAUGUUGGAGAUGAUUUUGCAUUUAUGUAUGAAACGUUGGUAACCAUCUUGAUCUUUUUUAAAGGUUGAAUAUCAAUUUUGUAAUUGUACAAUCGGUUGAGGACCGAUAAUGCAAUCUUCCCAUUUGAUGCUGGGUUAUGACCUCACACUUCAUGCUUAUCUCACCCACCUCGUGACUCGUGCCAUUGAAUGUCAUGGAUGACUUUGAGUUUAGUUUGUGGACCGUAGGAUCUAGGUGGAAGGGCC
rnacentral:lncRNA from 1 species